rnacentral:tRNA from 1 species
GCUGGCGUAGCUCAAGGGUAGAGCAACUGAUUUGUAAUCAGUAGGUUGGGGGUUCAAUUCCCUUCGCCAGCUCCA